GUUUCGGGUUGUGCUGUUAGUUGCCUUUUCCUGCACAGCCAAAGCAGAGCCAAGCGGAAACGCGUCGCGGUCGUGCCUGUGUCUGUGUCUGUGUUUGUGACUUGGACUGUGACUGUGUAUGGAAGCGCGUGCGUGCGUGUGUGCAUGUGUGAGUUUGUUGUCUGUCGUCGCUUAGCACUGCGCGCGCGUUUUGUCAGUGUAUGUGUGCUUGUUUGUGUGUGUGCGCGCGUGUGCCCGUGAUUCUCUGUGCUUCUCUGUGCAUAUGUGUGUGUGUGCGUGUGCGUGUUAAAACAGUGUGACCAUAUAUAUAUAUAUAUAUAAAUAUAUACAUAAAUGUAUGUGCGUGCCUGCGUUUAUUGUGCACCAAUAUACAUACACUAAUACAUAAGCACACAUACAUGGCAACAUUUAAGCGCCCAGCAGGAUGCUCAAGCAGCAGCUAAGAAACAAAAAUGAGAAGAAAACAACACUAGCAGCAUAAAUGCAACAACUGCACACAAUGGAUGUUAGAACUAAUUGAAAAGAACACCAUCAAAAAAAUUAGAGCAAAUAAAAAAUACUGUUUUUUAAUAGUUAUGGCAAGCAAUAUUUUAAUGUUUGAGUGAGAGGCACAGAAAAAAAUAAUAAUACCAAAAAAGUGUUUGUGGUAAAUAUAAAAAAAACGGGAGAACCAAUCGCAAAAAAAAAACACGAAAUGAAAAGUGUGUGAAAAGCAAAAACAACUGAAAACCAAAGAAAAUUCAAUCUCUUACUGAAGCAAUUGCAAAGGGUUAAAAAGAAAAACAGCACAAGCUAUAAACAUAAAUUAUGAAAAAUGUUUAAGGCAACAAAAAGAAAAAGAAAAUUUUGAAAUUAAUUGUAAAUAUUAGAAAGCUAUAAAAAUACUUUACAUCUUCAACAUAUACAAACAAAUACGAAAAGUAAAUUUAUAAAAACAAAAGACGGCCACAUUUUUCGCUGAAUGAUUUUUAAUAUUAAUUGUAAUACCCAACAUAAAUUUGAAUACAACAUUUUCUAUUAUAUAGAGAAAAAGUAUUAUAAUUAUAUACUGGAUAUAAAGCAUAUAAUAAACGAGAAUCUCAUAUAAAAUAGUUCAUAAAAACUUAAUAAGCAACUGAAACACGCACAAGAUUGAACGAGAAUGUUUAUGAUUUUACAUCUAAGUAUAUAUUUAUGAAAAUUUUCAAUAAAUUGGCUGCAUUGAUGAUUGACGUAUUGAAUGUAGUUUAUAUGGCAACAGUUUUCCAUGCAAAUUUAUUCAUAAUUCAAACAUAAACAAGUCAGCAAAUUUUCAAUCAUUGACAUUCGUGACGUAACAUAUGCAUAUUCGAUAAUCGCAACUAAUUAAAAAUAAUAAUAAAUACAAAAACAAAUAAUAAUAAUAAGAGAUUAAAUAAUCACAUUGAGCUACAACUAAUUGUACUCCACAAUUAAAUUCAUUAAAUCAACUAAAUCAACUGUAUGAAUACAUCAAUAUUCAUGUUCAUCAUAAUUACAUAUAAUUAAAAAUAUAUAUGACAAAUGAAAAUGCUCAAAAUUUGAUAAAAUACUUAAAAUAUAAUUAUAACAAACAAUAAAUGGAAUAUUUAUAGUAUUCAGCUAGUUCAACUAAAUCUUUAUAUAUAUACACGACGACAACCAACAAAUUGGAAAGCGACAACAUUUGACUUACUAAGUACAGAGAGUUAAAAGGCCCGUCUUGCCACAGCAAUAAUAAGCAACAGCAACAAUAGCAAAUAGCUACAAAGCACUGCCAUCUAGAAACUGCAAAAAAUUGCAAUUGAAUAACAGCCGCAACAACAAAACCAAACUUAGCAUCAAGCAUAACAG